CGGGGUAGAGUAACGCGUGGGUAACCUGCCUCAUACAGGGGGAGUAACAGUUAGAAAUGACUGCUAAUACCGCAUAAGCGCACAGAAUCGCAUGAUUCGGUGUGAAAAACUCCGGUGGUAUGAGAUGGACCCGCGUCUGAUUAGCUAGUUGGUGGGGUAAAGGCCUACCAAGGCGACGAUCAGUAGCCGACCUGAGAGGGUGAUCGGCCACAUUGGGACUGAGACACGGCCCAAACUCCUACGGGAGGCAGCAG
rnacentral:rRNA from 1 species